GGUGGGGUAGCUCAGCUGGUUAGAGCGCAGGACUCAUAAUCCUGAGGUCGUGAGUUCAAGUCUCACUCUCACUACCA
rnacentral:tRNA from 3 species